rnacentral:rRNA from 1 species
UACGAAGGGGGCUAGCGUUGUUCGGAAUUACUGGGCGUAAAGCGUACGUAGGCGGAUUGUUAAGUCAGGGGUGAAAUCCUGGAGCUCAACUCCAGAACUGCCUUUGAUACUGAGAGUCUUGAGUCCGGGAGAGGUGAGUGGAACUGCGAGUGUAGAGGUGAAAUUCGUAGAUAUUCGCAAGAACACCAGUGGCGAAGGCGGCUCACUGGCCCGGUACUGACGCUGAGGUGCGAAAGCGUGGGGAGCAAACAGG